rnacentral:siRNA from 1 species
UGUGGUUCAUAGUGCAAAUUUU